rnacentral:rRNA from 1 species
AAGUCGGGUGUGAAAUCCCUCGGCCCAACCGAGGAACUGCGCCCGAAACUGCAUGUCUUGAGGACAGGAGGGGAGCGCGGAAUUCCUGGUGGAGCGGUGAAAUGCGUUGAUAUCAGGAGGAACACCGGCGGCGAAGACGGCGCUCUGGCCUGUUUCUGACGCUGAGGUGCGAAAGCCAGGGGAGCAAACGGGAUUAGAUACCCCGGUAGUCCUGGCCGUAAACGAU